rnacentral:rRNA from 1 species
GGGGAAGGGUAGCUUGCUACCUGACCUAGCGGCGGACGGGUGAGUAAUGCUUAGGAAUCUGCCUAUUAGUGGGGGACAACAUUCCGAAAGGAAUGCUAAUACCGCAUACGCCCUACGGGGGAAAGCAGGGGAUCUUCGGACCUUGCGCUAAUAGAUGAGCCUAAGUCAGAUUAGCUAGUUGGUGGGGUAAAGGCCUACCAAGGCGACGAUCUGUAGCGGGUCUGAGAGGAUGAUCCGCCACACUGGGACUGAGACACGGCCCCAUACUCCUACGGGAGGCAGCAGUGGGGAAUAUUGGACAAUGGGCGAAAGCCUGAUCCAUCCAUGCCGCGUGUGUGAAGAAGGCCUUUUGGUUGUAAAAGCCUUUAAGCGAGGAGGAGGCUCUGGAAUUAAUACUCUUGGAUAUUGGAACGUUACUCGCAAAAAAAGCCCGGUUAUUUUUUUGCCAACAGCCGGGGGUAUUACAGAGGGGGCGAGCGUUAAUCGGAUUUACUUGGCGU